rnacentral:rRNA from 1 species
AGCCGCGGUAAUACGGAGGGUGCGAGCGUUAAUCGGAAUUACUGGGCGUAAAGCGCAUGCAGGCGGCCUGUUAAGUCAGAUGUGAAAGCCCCGGGGCUUAAACCUCGGAAUUGCAUUUUAAAACUGGCAGGCUAGAGUCUUGUAGAGGGGGUAGAAUUUCAGGUGUAGCGGUGAAAUGCGUAGAGAUCUGAAGGAAUACCAGUGGCGAAGGCCGGCCCCCCUGGACAAAGACUGACGCUCAGAUGCGAAAGCGUGGGGAGCAAACAGGAUUAGAUACCCCUAGUAG